AGCCACCAGCGAGAUUCGAACUCGCGACCCCUGGUUUAUGAGACUAGUGCUCUAAUGCUCUAACCUCUGAGCUAUGGCGGC